rnacentral:rRNA from 1 species
UACAGAGGGGGCAAGCGUUGUUCGGAAUUACUGGGCGUAAAGGGCGCGUAGGCGGCCUGCUAAGUCGAACGUGAAAUCCCCGGGCUCAACCCGGGAACUGCGUCCGAUACUGGUUGGCUUGAAUUCGGGAGAGGGAUGCGGAACUCCAGGUGUAGCGGUGGAAUGCGCAGAUAUCAGGAAGAACACCAACGGCGAAGGCAGCUCGCUAGGACGGUACUGACGCUGAGACGCGAAAGCGUGGGGAGCGAACAGG